UACGAAGGGUGCGAGCGUUACUCGGAAUUACUAGGCGUAAAGCGUGCGUAGGUGGUUUGUUAAGUCUGUUGUGAAAGCCCCGGGCUCAACCUGGGAAUGGCAAUGGAUACUGGCAAGCUAGAGUGCGGUAGAGGGUAGUGGAAUUCCCGGUGUAGCGGUGAAAUGCGUAGAGAUCGGGAGGAACACCAGUGGCGAAGGCGGCUACCUGGACCAGCACUGACACUGAGGCACGAAAGCGUGGGGAGCAAACAGG
rnacentral:rRNA from 1 species